GAAGCAACAGAGCUGCACUGAGUGGCAUCUCUGAAUGGUGGAAGAGCACUGAUAAUGGAAAGCAACCUUUGGGAAGUUUUAUUUCUUUCUGCUAGGUACUGUAAUAUUAAUUGAAGGGGAAUUGCCACAUCUCUGAAACAAAGAGAACUCCCGAAGAGCUUCUGAUGGCCAGAGAAUCUCUGCUAAGAAACUGCACUCACAAAAAAACAACAGAAUUAAGAGACUUGGAUAUCAGGAGCUAAGACGUGGAUAUUUCAUGGAAAGAAAUCUCAGUUGUUUGUUCUUUCUUAAGGGAAGCAGAAAUGCAUUCUUUACAGUGACAAUACAAAUAAAAC